rnacentral:rRNA from 1 species
AUGGAGAAUCCGGUGGAGGAGCCGAUGUCCAGGCUCACCCGCGACCUAAUCGCGGAGAUCCUCUCUCGCGUGCCCUAUAAAUCGCUCUGCAUCUGCAAGUGCGUCUGCCCGGCCUGGCGCGACCUCAUCGCCGACCCCGUCUACAGGAAGAAGAUUGUGCACUCCCUGACCGGCUUCUUCUACCGCAUCACCGAAGAAGCCGCGGCCUUCCCCGGCGUCAACUACGCCGACCUGUCCGCCUUCCCGUGGGCGAGCGUCCCCAAGACCCACCCGCGGCUGCCGCUGCCGCCCGACAGCACGGACCGCGUCAUGUCCGUCGAUGAUUCCUGCGAUGGACUGUUUCUUGCCCGCAUUUCUAUUGGGGCUGGCAAUUUUCGCUACAUGGUCUCCAAUCCAGCUACCGGUGAGUACACUCUGCUGCCCCACAAUGGCCACGCCGGCAACGACAGCAUUGCUUACCUGGGUUUCGACAGCGAUGCAUCCACUGAGGGGUUUCAUGUGUUCGAGUUUGCAGAGGACUGGUCACCCCCGGACCACCGGGGCAUACAAUUCCAGGUUGUGACACAAGUGAGGAUUUACUCUUCAAAAACUGAUGUGUUCGGGUUGGCAAUAGUUGAUGCACAAGGGCUAAAAUGGAGGAUCGUCCCGCUGCCAGCUAACAGUUUCUCGGGUUUCAUUGGGAAGUCUCAUGGGCACCUAUUUUAUGUCGACUCGGACACAUCUUUGACUACUAUAUCCGUUUACACUCUUAGUGGUGAGAUUUAUAACUGGGGUGUGUGUCAUCAGGAUGACGACUGCAUCUACUGGAAAUUGUACAAGUGUUCAAAUGUAAUUCCAAAUAAGGAGUCUCUCGAAGUCAUUGGAGUACACCCACAUGCCAAUCUCAUCUUCAUAGCUCAUUCGAACAAUCAAGUGUUGGCAUACGAUUUGGAUCGUCAAGAAAGCACAGUUGUAACUUCCAUUCAACAUCUUUCCUGGAGAGAUUGCAGAGAGGAUCCUCAUUAUUCCAGUAAAUUCUGA